CAACAAUGGUGGUGGCUGUGUUCCAGAGUGAAGUUGGUGUCACGGCAACCUGGAAUGCAGACCAGAAGGGCAGUGCCAGCAAGAGAUCACCCCGGGGUAAAAGAGUGAGCAAGGGCUGUGGUGGGUAAGAGCAGCCCAUGGGGAUGGACAGCGGCUACUCCUCCCCCACCUCACAGCCACACACAGGGACAGGGACACAGCAGGACAGUGAGACACUCCUGUUCUCACCUGCAUUCAUAUCCUGACAAGAGGGCCAAGCACUGCAGGACAGGUGCUGGCAACGGAUCUACUGAUUGCAGUGGCCCUUUCGACACACAGCCAUGGAAAUUGCUGACAGAUCAGCAACCCGAUGGACAUUUGCACAAAGACAGAACCAGAGCAGGACAUACACCUAUCCUCAGCCCUCUAACUGGUUUCCGUGCCACCAUGCAGAUAAGUCUGAAACAAACGCUAUCCUUCCUCAAUUCUAAAUUACCUUGGAAGCUCCCCAGGAUCCCCAUGCCCUCACCUCAACAUUUUAUACCACUUUGCUGAGUCCUGGCCCUGUUGCAGGUGCUUGCAACGGACCUACUGAUUGCAAUGCCAA
rnacentral:lncRNA from 1 species